rnacentral:lncRNA from 1 species
AAUGUAUAAUGACCAGCGGUCCAUGAAAAGCACUGGGAACAUCAACUGAAUUUUAAUUCAAGGAAAAAACAAGUUAGAAUUCAAUCACAAUGCAGCAUACGAUUAAGUACGUCCUCAGUUACCCCAUCCAACACGCUUACCUUUUUCAGCCAAUCAAUUCUGUACCCUAUCAAUUAAAGUUCAUCAUGAUGUUGAUAUAAUCCGAGUCCACUUCAUUGUCUGCCCUGCAAAGCUCUUCCCGAAAGCACAUCCAAACAACCCACGUUUAGCAUCUCCAGCAAGUAAAGAAAUAAUUGACAGCAAAAAUGCCAACUAGCAAGGCAUGUACAACAAAGCGCGGAAUCCCUCCACCUCGCGAGCCACCCGCGGUGCAUCCUCUUCUCCUUUGCAUUCAGCAUGUGCUGCAUGCAUCUCCAGACAUUUAACGUCACCUCACCACCAGGAGUCAGCUCAGCCUUCAGGUCCUGACUAG